rnacentral:rRNA from 1 species
GACGAACGCUGGCGGCGUGCUUAACACAUGCAAGUCGAGCGAUGAAGUUCCUUCGGGAAUGGAUUAGCGGCGGACGGGUGAGUAACACGUGGGUAACCUGCCUCAUAGAGGGGAAUAGCCUUUCGAAAGGAAGAUUAAUACCGCAUAAGAUUGUAGUAUCGCAUGAUACAGCAAUUAAAGGAGUAAUCCGCUAUGAGAUGGACCCGCGUCGCAUUAGCUAGUUGGUGAGGUAACGGCUCACCUAGGCGACGAUGCGUAGCCGACCUGAGAGGGUGAUCGGCCACAUUGGGACUGAGACACGGCCCAGACUCCUACGGGAGGCAGCAGUGGGGAAUAUUGCACAAUGGGGGAAACCCUGAUGCAGCAACGCCGCGUGAGUGAUGACGGUCUUCGGAUUGUAAAGCUCUGUCUUCAGGGACGAUAAUGACGGUACCUGAGGAGGAAGCCACGGCUAACUACGUGCCAGCAGCCGCCGCCGUAA